AACCUCAAACAGGUUCCUCUCCUCCUGUAUCUGGAUUUGUUGAUCUGAGUCUAUGCUUGCUCCAAGCCCAGGAAGCUCAGAUGAUGCAGGGAGGAGAGGUCGUAUCCACCAGCUGUGGGCAACAUCCACAGCUGGGACAGUGUGAGCCCAGCCCAGCACCGUCAGCCACGCAGGGGCCUGGCCCAGCUGGAGAGAGAGGAUUGGGAGCUGGGACCAGGCUUGAGGUGUUAUCAGAGAUGAUGAAAGCAGCUAAACACACUUCCACUGAAGGUUUUGCAAUGAGAAAUCGUAUCAUAUACAGCCUGGGAGGGAUCUGAUGCUCUGUCUCAAGGACUUCCAAACUGGCAUUACUUCAAGCAGGACAUCUGGGGUCAGGUGCCUUUUUAACACAUUUAAGGCUUGUCUGAGGCUUCAAUGAGUUUCAUGGAAGAAGCAGCAAGUUCUUGUAUGAGAUGUGGAACUUCCCAGCCUAAUUUCUCAAGGAUUUUGUCCUCCUCUCAGCCCCACCACAGUUUCCUCUCAUCUAUAUGACACAACCCAGCUGCCUCCUUGUGUGGAAGAGCCUCGAGUGCAGUGGCAUUAAUGAGAUUUCUCAGUAGGAUAUUUUUGCCUAAAAAUUGCCAGUGUCAAUGACCAGCCCAAUCCAUCUUGUGACUGGCUCUGGUCUAGAAGUGAAAUUAUUUUUUUCUGAAGUUGUUACAGAGUUAUAAUCCAUUUUCUUCCUAAUGGGCAAAAUUACUUUCGCAAUGUUUUGGUGGAACUCUAGCCACAUUGGAAAGGAACAGAAGCAGCAUUUUUUCCUUUAACAAGCUAGGAUUUCAUUUCUACACUUUCAAAGAAACUCAUGAUGGGAUCCAUAGGAAAACAGAGGCAAAACCCUGCUGGGUCUGGACUUCCUGAUGAAGAUGUACUGCAGAGCACAGUGUUGGCUCGAGGACACAGCUUCCAGCUCUUUUACACCAAGCAGUUCCACCAAGCUGUCAUGUUGGGGUGGGUUUCAGAAGGAGAGAAAAACUACAGUACUGUGACAAACAGCAAAAAUUAGUAGACAACACCUGCAUAAUACAGGUGAGAUCACUCAGUGAGUAGCAGGAGUUCAGGGAUCAGAGCAUGAAAAAGGGAAAAAUUAAUCUGUUUUCUCUCUGGAUGAUGCUCCCCAGGGAUGAGCAGAUUCUGUCCAGAAGCCUCACAUCCACCCAACCCAUGCCAUCAACCAGGAGCUACACCAGCGACUCAGGAAAAUAGGGAAUUCAUUGAAGCAUUGACACCCUAUUGCCCUCGCUACUGUAACUGUGGCAGGAUUUACGGUGUUGGUUUAGAGGGUUUCAUGUCCAUCUGUACGGACACACCUCAGAGCUGGAGGGGGCUGCUGCCAGAGAGGGAGGGGAACUCAGGUCGGGCCAUCUCCUCCUGCUCCCAGGCUCAGUUGCUUUCAAGAUGCAUGGUGCUCUUCUUUCAUCUCUUGGAUUCAAAUCCACCAUAAUAAAUAAAAUUCUUCCUGUCUGAAAGAUACAUUAAUUUUGGUGGUCUCAAAAGUAAUGAAAAUAAAUACUUGACUUGGCAUGUGGAGCCUGACUGGAGUGAGGAGCAGAAUGUGUGUACUUGGAGCUGUUUUUACAAGAACAUAAGCUGUGGAAAAAGUUUGGCUUUUUGCUCACGGGCUCUCUACGUCUGAAGAGAAAUGGAGAGACUUGAGAAGUUCAAUCAAACAGACAGAAACACUGUGAAGUGUGAGUUUUCUAUCUCGGUUUCAAAUGCUUUGAAAAGUGCACAUGAAAGCAUUGCAGGGGGAGGCACUGUCUGAACCCAGAGGGAUGCUUGGGACAGCCCUGGCACAGCACUGGUUUUGCCAAUGGAGAGGUGGCAGGGGUGGCCUGCAUAAUUUCAGAACACAUGUGGGGAAAUUGCAACAAAACUAAGGUUUUGUUAAUUUAAAACAAAUAAAUUCCCCAAUUAAAAGGAGCCACCAACCACCAUUCACUGUGGCUGUGGAUGAAGAGCCUGGUACUGCUGCCCUGGGGGUGAGUUGGUGUGUUCUGGUCAAGCUAAUAAUUCCAGUUCUAAUCAGUGCUGGAUCCAGCAUCCUUUCCUUAUGUGGCAGAAGUGGGAAGGGCUGGGAGAAUAGGCAAUGGCAGCCUGGUAAAGUAAGAUGUGCUCACAGCCAGGAAGGACUGGAGGUGAUCCUUCUCCUCCCCAGCAUGUGGCCAUGGACCUUGCCUGGCACUCAGGCCUGGGACUGCCAGGGCAGGGCAGUUCUGGGCUCUUGGGGCUGCUCUGUGCACAGCUCAUAGGGAAAACAUCCACUUGUUCUUUGGCUGGUGUUUCUGGGCCACCUGGGCCAGGUGCAUUCACAUGCAAGUACACACAUGUGUGGACAUGUAAUCAUGAAAUCAUAGAAUCAUUAGGAUUGGGAAAAAACCUCCCAGCCCAUCACGUCUUGGCUGUGCCCCAUCCCUACCUCAUCACCAGCCCAGAGCUCUGAGUGCCACCUCCAGCCUUUCCUUGGAUACCUCCAGGGAUGGGCACUCCCAAAUCUCCCUGGGCAGCCCCUGCCAAGGCCUGACCACCCUUUCCAUGGGGAAAUUCCUGCUGAUGUCCAACCAAAGCCUCCCCUGGCACAUGCCCAUACAUAAAUACACACACAACUCCCCCUCCCCUCCUUGGUUCUGCCCUUCCCAUGCCUCACUGAGGGCAGGGCAGGACAUGCCUGGACACUCAAACUCCUUCUGCAGCUGGGGUUUGGAUCAUGGUGUCAGUCCCUGCACAGCUGCUGCGACAACUGAGGUUGCUGAGGCCACUGGUGCAACCAGCGACACAUCUGACCCCAGCAAGGGUGGCACUGGCACAGAGAUUGGCACUGGCACAGGGCGUCCCAGGACAGCUCUUCCCAAGCCAAUGGGUACAGCAGCCCCAUCACUGAAAAAGUGAGCCCUUCUCUUUAGCUCAUAUGCUAAAUAUGCCUUAUUUAACAUAGAAGUGGGUUUGGUAGUCAUGUUCUUCGAAUGAUGUUUAUCAUUUGAGCAUAGAUGAAUUGUCUGACAUUAUCUGUGAGUAUGAACUAAGAAAAUCAUAUUUACAUUAUUCAGAAUACAGAUAGAAGCUAAUGAUGACUUUGGACCACCUCUGACUUACUAAUAAUUAUCUUUUCCUUUUUCUAAAAGAGAUGUGUGCCUCAGAUGGUGAUCUUCUUACUCUGCAAGCUGAAUAGUCUGGUGGAAUAUAUCAAUGUGGCUGCUUGGUAGUACAGUGAUGAACUACAAAACACACUUUUUUUCUGGCAUCUAAAUGCUGUAGAAUGAGAAAGCCCUUUCAGUUCUGAAUUAAUGAAUUGCAUCAAAAAGCCAGUUCUGAGGCUGACACAGAUAUGAAUAAAAACCAGCAUGUGUGCCUUACAAAGAACCCGAUAUUCUAUAAAAUGCUGCAACGUAAAGAGGUUAAUAAAAAACUCUGCUUAUUUUAGGUAAAAUUAACAAGGAGUCUGAGGAAUGCAUCCAGCAUGUCUUCUCUCUGCUGAUAACCAGGACCAUUACUGGCAGGUUCUGGAAGGGCAGCUGUGACAUGGCACCUACUGUGCAAUGCAGAGUCCAGAAUCACUCCAGGCUGACAGGAGGGGAAGAUGCCACUCUGGAAGGUCUGUGACGGGGGGGCUGUGCUGGCUGCAGGUUCUUGACACAGUCAGACACCACUGGGUAAGUUCUGUGUUCAGGGCUCAUUCUGAGCCCACUGAUUUCCCUUCUCUGGAAAAGCCAGCAGAGACACGGCAGUCUGGAGACAGCAGCACUUCAACACUUCUGACAGCACUUCCAGCUGUGUUUCAAUGAGUUGUUAUUUUGAUAAACAGCAUCCAUGCCAGGACCUUUCCAGGUGAAAAAGCACACACUCAGCACUUCCCAGGAGCUGCAGCAUCCCAUUUGGAUGCAGAAUCCUUGUGAUUUCAUCUCCAGAAGCUGCUUGGUUUCAUUAUAACAUUGCUUUGUGCUGGUUGUGUUUUGAAAAAUUGGCUACUGUGGUGGACCCAGCCCAUGACAGGGUUGAGAAAGGGUCAGUUUAGAUACAAAACAUCCAGGAAAAGCAGCUGUGGGGCUUGGAGCUCCCUGUGUCAGCUGUUUUUAGCACAGGCAGUGCAGCAGGGAUGCACAGCCUGCUCAGCACAGGGAAGGAGCACUUCCAACAGCAGCACUGGGCAGGGCAGUGAUGAGCCUUGUGUGACUGUGACCAGCCAGCCUGAGCAAAGGGAUCACUGCUGGAGACUGUCUCUAAAUCAGGGGCUUUCAGAUCCCAUCCAGCACCAGGCAGUGUGUUGAAGGACACUGAGGGAGGGCAUCUUUUACUGGCAGGUUAUUUGGUUUGGUUGUGCUGGGUUGUGUCUCCUCUUCAUCAACUUCUGUCUCCCAAGGAUUGCGUCCAAAUAGUCCAAAACUGUAAAUUACCUUAACAAAAAACAAGCAAAAAUGGGAAAGCAACGAAAUAAAAAUAUGUUUGUGGUAGUAGAGAGCUGUCAAGUUGUUGAAUAUGCCACAAAGAUUAAUUUAAAUGUUGGGAGGCAUACAAGUUACCCAAAACUGUUGCUUCCUGCUGCAAGGAGCUUGUCUGUUCUUUCCCCUUCCUCACACAGCCUCCUAAUCUGCUUGUCCCUGAAUGGGUGAGGAGCUUUGGAAGUAUAAUUUCUAGCAGGCUAAUUCAGAUUUCAACAAAGAAUUUAGCCCCAAUGUUCUGGUCAGGUGAUAUUCAUUUUUCCUAUUUAACUUUGGGAAGCAGAAGAAUUAAUCAGGCUGUAAGCACACUGAUGCAAAAAAAAAAAAAGGAUGAAAAAAUUUAAUAAAAGCUACAGUGUUAACAAAUACUGAACUAAUGACCUUUGAUAUAUGAAGCAAAUGCUUCACCUACUAGCCUAUACAAGGUUUCAUUACCAGCCAUGGGAAUUUACAGGUGUUAAAUUAGCUGCAAGAUAACUCCCAUAUUGUUGCCUGACUGCAAUAGAACAUAUUGAAAAAGUUAAUAAAGAAUUGAGCAUAGGGGCUGCAGGGUUCAAACAAAACCCACUUGCCAGUUCAAUCUGAGGUCUUCAUCAAAGUAAAUUCCAGCACAAGCCACAAUUUUGUGUGCAGGACAACAUCCACCAGAGAUGCACUGACUGCCAGAGAAAAGGAGAGGCAACACAGAGGCACCUGGAGCUGCCCUGGUCAGGUGGAGUAUUGACAUAUCCCCUCUUUUGGUUUUUUAACCUUUUUACCACAGAUAAAAUCAACAUAUAAAAAUUAUUCUAAAUGGGAAGCCUGGAAAUCUUUUCUGAAUCUGCUGCCAUCAAUCUCUUGGGUAACUGUAGAGGUUGAAAAUGCACCCAGACUUCGCAGUCAGCUCUGAUCAAAGCACAGCUAACAGCCACAUCCCUGCAUUUCACAGUCAGGUAUUGAAUCCCACACAAAGGGUAUCCCACGUUGUUCACAAGUCCUGCCAGAGACAGGAUGCUCACGUCACUGCUGGGAGUCAUUCAGUGCAAACCUGAUCCCUUCCAUAAAUGCUCUCGUGCCUCCCAGUGACACCAGUGGUCACUGGUGUGAUGGGAAUGGGCUCUCCCUGCACACUCUUUGGAGUAGUUACAGUUUCCUCUCUUGUAGAUAAAAUUAUGUUUUAAAAGUACAAUGUAUUACACCUAGGGGCAGGAAAGAGAGGUGAAGGGAAGAAGGGGGUAGAUUUUUACAUAAGUGGGACUCUGAGAUGAAAUUAGCUACUUUUUUUCUUAAAACAAGAUUUUGUGUAUUCAGAAACCCCUUGGGAUCACUAAACUCGCAGUUCAAACACUCAAUUUCAUCUAAUAAUAUGCAUAAUUUAACAGUACCAAGUCUUUAAUAUACAUCUCAUAUUUAUGAUUUAUAUUGGAAAACAUGGGCUGAUGGUGCCAUCAGUGGCUGUGCAAAUUGCAACUAAAAGUGGGAUUGAAAAAGCAAAAAAAUAAAACAGAGAAGGAGUUUCAGAAAGCCUUGUUAAAGCCCCACUGUGUAAUCAGAGCAUCCCCAGGCCUGCCUGCUUCCCAGACCAUGGUGUCACAGGCCAGGUUUUGUGAUGGGAGCGGGAGACGGAGCAGCUCACACUUCCUAAUUUACACCUGCUAUGAGAAAGAGUCAAAUCAAGAGGCUUUGGCUAAGCUGAACAGAAGAAUCAGAAGAAUUAUAGACAAGAGAAGAAAGGCAAGGAAGGAAGAGCUGAUCCACCUGGUUAUUCAUGUUUGUUUGGGUGUGUGUGUGUGUGUGUGUGAUCACUUCUCUUAUGACUGAUUUUGUACCCAGAGCUUGAAUGGCUUCACCACCAAAGGCAGUGCACUGCUCCAGUGGAGAGUCCAUCCCUCAGCUGGGCACUGGGAAUGCAGAGGAGAUCAGUGCUGUACUGAACAAUUGCAGCUCUAACUUAGGUAGAUGAGGUCACAAAUAAAGGAAAAGGGCUGGGGCAGGAAAGGAGGGCGCAGCUCUGUCCAUUUGCUGACAUUUACAUUUACAGACUUCAGACAUUCUCCUUGGUGCUACGGAGAAGUCACAUGUUGUACCACAAAUACAGCAUUCGUUUUCCAUAAACAACAGCCAUGCAAUAAUUUUAAAGCUAAAUUAGCCCAUGUGCAUCAUGCAAUGUCCCCCUGUAAAGAGGGGAAAAUGUAACAGAUGGGAAAAUAUAAUAAAGUAAUUUUAUGACAGUUGUAACAAGCCAAGAAACUCUAAAAUGGCAGCAGAUAGAAAACAGAAUUAUAAAGCACAAGCAUUGUUAGCUCUUUUCACUGGCACAGAGCUGGUUAGUGAAAUCAGAAGACAAUAACCAAAAUUCCCAAACCCAGCAACCUUUGAUUGCCCCCCCCCAAGCCCCAGUGGCCCCUAGGGGAGACAGCAGGGUGCCCCCGAUCUGUGCGGGGUGCAGGGAAGGCAAUAAUGAACAUCCAAGCAUGGCUUGCCCUCGGAGAGCUUCCAAGCAUGGAGGAACAGUUCUUUAUUUGCUAUUUCCUGCUGCUCAGGGCUGCCUUGCUGACCCCUCUCCUGGUAAAUGAAACACCUCUGGCAGCGCAGUGAGUUUGAUUAAAACCCAGAAAAUAUAGGAGACAAAGAGGAAUCGUUUCACCCACCGCUGAAGCGCAGCUGCCUGUGAGGCAAAACAUGGCAAAUGGUUAAAGGUUCAGACCUUGGAGGCGCUGAUCUCUAUCAGCUCUUGAAGACAACGAGACCUAAGGAUAGUCAACACCCCAGCAGCGUGCUGAGCUGGGUUUCAACUGUCUUGAGGCAGUGUCUCAUCAAUACACAACU